AGAGUCGAUUGGACAGUCGCUGCUUCGUGGUUCGCCACGGGGGGGAGGAAAGUCCGGGCUCCAUAGGGCAGAGUGCCAGGUAACGCCUGGGAGGCGCGAGCCUACGGAAAGUGCCACAGAAAAUAACCGCCUAAGCGCUACAGCGCCGGUAAGGGUGAAAAGGUGCGGUAAGAGCGCACCGCACGGCUGGCAACAGUGCGUGGCUAGGUAAACCCCACUCGGAGCAAGACCAAAUAGGAAUCCGUUGCGUGGCCCGCGCUGGAUUCGGGUAGGUCGCUUGAGGCGUUCAGUGAUGGAUGUCCCAGAGGAAUGGCUGUCCUCGACAGAACCCGGCUUACAGAUCGACUCUCUCC
rnacentral:RNase_P_RNA from 9 species